AGAGUUUGAUCAUGGCUCAGGAUGAACGCUAGCGGCAGGCUUAAUACAUGCAAGUCGAGGGGCAGCGCAGUGUAGCAAUACAUGGGCGGCGACCGGCAAACGGGUGCGGAACACGUACACAACCUUCCUUUAAGCGGGGAAUAGCCCGGGGAAACCCGGAUUAAUACCCCAUAGUAUAUUGAAGAGGCAUCUCUUUACUAUUAAAGAUUUAUCACUUGAAGAUGGGUGUGCGGCUGAUUAGCUAGUUGGCGGGGUAAUGGCCCACCAAGGCAACGAUCAGUAACUGGUGUGAGAGCACGACCAGUCACACGGGCACUGAGACACGGGCCCGACUCCUACGGGAGGCAGCAGUAAGGAAUAUUGGUCAAUGGACGCAAGUCUGAACCAGCCAUGCCGCGUGGAGGAUGAAGGUCCUCUGGAUUGUAAACUUCUUUUAUCUGGGACGAAAAAAGGUUUUUCUAGACCGACUGACGGUACCAGAUGAAUAAGCACCGGCUAACUCCGUGCCAGCAGCCGCGGUAAUACGGAGGGUGCAAGCGUUAUCCGGAUUCACUGGGUUUAAAGGGUGCGUAGGUGGAUUAGUAAGUCAGUGGUGAAAUCUCCGGGCUUAACCCGGAAACUGCCAUUGAUACUAUUAGUCUUGAAUACCGUGGAGGUCAGCGGAAUAUGUCAUGUAGCGGUGAAAUGCUUAGAUAUGACAUAGAACACCAAUUGCGAAGGCAGCUGGCUACACGAAUAUUGACACUCAGGCACGAAAGCGUGGGGAUCAAACAGGAUUAGAUACCCUCGUAGUCC
rnacentral:rRNA from 1 species